UGGGGAAUAUUGCACAAUGGGCGAAAGCCUGAUGCAGCAACGCCGCGUGAGUGAUCAAGGCCUUCGGGUUGUAAAGCUCUGUCUUCUGGGACGAUAAUGACGGUACCAGAGGAGGAAGCCACGGCUAACUACGUGCCAGCAGCCGCGGUAAUACGUAGGUGGCAAGCGUUGUCCGGAUUUACUGGGCGUAAAGGAUGCGUAGGCGGAUACUUAAGUCAGAUGUGAAAAUCCCGGGCUUAACUUGGGAACUGCAUUUGAAACUGGGUAUCUAGAGUGCGGGAGAGGAAAGUGGAAUUCCUAGUGUAGCGGUGAAAUGCGUAGAGAUUAGGAAGAACACCGGUGGCGAAGGCGACUUUCUGGACCGUAACUGACGCUGAGGCAUGAAAGCGUGGGGAGCAAACA
rnacentral:rRNA from 1 species